AACGCACCUUGCGCUCCUUGGCAUUCCGAGGAGCAUGCCUGUUUGAGUGUCAUGUUAAUUCUCAGCCCGGCCUCGGGUUGGAUUUGUGGACGUUGCGGGAGGCCAGCCCUCCGCUCGUCUUAAAUGCAUUAGCAGUUCCGGGCAGCGACCCAUUGCUGGCGUUUAGUGAUGCUUGCGCCGCGCGGGGAUUAUGUUGCCCUUCCCUGCUCUCGUAGCCGGCGUCGUCGGCACUUGACCUUUUGGCCUCAAAUCAGGUAGGAUUACCCGCCGAACUUAA
rnacentral:misc_RNA from 1 species